GCGGCCGCCUGACGCGGGUGGUCGAUCGUCGGAGCGGGGCGGAAGGGGCGCAGUCGGGGAGAUCGGGGGUCACGGGAGCCGCCGGACCUGACGCGUGAUGGACAGGCCGGGAGCGGCGGCGUCGGGCUGCGAAAGCGCUGCGGGCCCCGGGCCGGGACCGGGCGCCAGCUGGAGACCCGCUCGUGUUGCGGGGGGCGCUUCCGGCAGUUCCCGACACCCCAGCAUGGAGACCCUGGACAGGUCUAACCGUGCCGUCCCCUCAGCCCCGCAGGGUCGCACGUGGAGUGGUGCAAGCAGCUCAUCGCGGCCACGAUCUCCACACAGAUGUCAGGCUCGGUGACGUCAGAAAACGUGUCCAGGGAUUACAAGAGAAAUAUAUUUUAAAGAACAAAAGCAUGAAGUCAUCCUAAAGCACACAGACUGGUAUACGCACAACAUGGAAACUUGGAGCGACCAUUUUGGGCCUCGGGCAUAGAAGCCAAAAGGUCUAGGAUCGAAGUUCCAGCCGUUACUAGAAAAGACUUAUUUGUAAAAUUAAUUAUUAAUUAGUAAUUAAUAAUACUAAUUAUCGUGUGAAUU
rnacentral:lncRNA from 1 species